rnacentral:rRNA from 1 species
CAGUAGCCGCGGUAAAACGGAGGGGGCUAGCGUUGUUCGGAAUUACUGGGCGUAAAGCGUACGUAGGCGGUUUUGUAAGUUAGAGGUGAAAGCCCGGAGCUCAACUCCGGAAUUGCCUUUAAGACUGCAUCACUUGAACGUCGGAGAGGUGAGUGGAAUUCCGAGUGUAGAGGUGAAAUUCGUAGAUAUUCGGAAGAACACAAGUGGCGAAGGCGGCUCACUGGACGACUGUUGACGCUGAGGUACGAAAGCGUGGGGAGCAAACAGGAUUAGAUACCCCAGUAGUCCCUGUCUCUUAUAC